AUUGAACGCUGGCGGCAGGCUUAACACAUGCAAGUCGAGCGAGCGGCGGACGGGUGAGUAAUGUCUGGGAAACUGCCUGAUGGAGGGGGAUAACUAAUGGAAACGGUAGCUAAUACCGCAUACCAUCAGAUGUGCCCAGGUGGGAUUAGCUAGUCGGGGGGGUAACGGCUCACCAAGGCGACGAUCCCUAGCUGGUCUGAGAGGCUGACCGGCCACACUGGGACUGAGACACGGCCCAGAUUCCUACGGGAGGCAGCAGUAGGGAAUAUUGCGCAAUGGACGCAAGCCUGAUGGAGCCAUGCCGCGUGAGUGAAGAAGGUUUUCGGGUUGUAAAGCACUUUCGGCGGGGAAGCGUUACUCAAACAGGAAGCAACGGCUAACUCCGUGCCAGCAGCCGCGGUAAUAC
rnacentral:rRNA from 1 species